CCUGUACCGGGAACACUGUGAGGCCAUUGUUGAUGUCAUGGUGAACCUGCAGUUCACCCUGGUGGAGACGCUGUGGAAAACCUUCUGGAGGUACAACCUCAGCCAGCCCAACGAGGCGCCUCCGCUGGCUGUGCACGACGAGGCUGAGAAGCGGCUGCCCAAGGCCAGCCUGGUGCUCCUCUCCAAGUUUGAGCCAGUGCUGCAGUGGACCAAGCACUGUGACAACGUGCUGUACCAGGGCCUGGUGGAGAUCCUCAUCCCCGACGUGCUGCGGC